rnacentral:rRNA from 1 species
CAGCAGCCACGGUAAUACGAAGGGUGCAAGCGUUAAUCGGAAUUACUGGGCGUAAAGCGUGCGUAGGCGGUGAGUUAAGUCUGCUGUGAAAUCCCCGGGCUCAACCUGGGAAUGGCAGUGGAUACUGGCUCGCUAGAGUGUGUCAGAGGAUGGUGGAAUUCCCGGUGUAGCGGUGAAAUGCGUAGAGAUCAGGAGGAACAUCAGUGGCGAAGGCGGCCAUCUGGGACAACACUGACGCUGAGGCACGAAAGCGUGGGGAGCAAACAGGAUUAGAUACCCCGGUAGUCCCUGUCUCUUAUAC